UACGAAGGGGGCUAGCGUUGCUCGGAAUCACUGGGCGUAAAGCGCACGUAGGCGGCUUUUUAAGUCAGGGGUGAGAUCCUGGAGCUCAACUCCAGAACUGCCUUUGAUACUGAGAAGCUUGAGUCCGGGAGAGGUGAGUGGAACUGCGAGUGUAGAGGUGAAAUUCGUAGAUAUUCGGAAGAACACCAGUGGCGAAGGCGGCUCACUGGACUGGUAUUGACGCUGAGGUGCGAAAGCGUGGGGAGCAAACAGG
rnacentral:rRNA from 1 species